rnacentral:rRNA from 1 species
AGCAGCCGCGGUAAUUCCAGCUCCAAUAGCGUAUAUUAAAGUUGUUGCAGUUAAAAAGCUCGUAGUUGAAUUUCGGGGUCAGCAGGUUGGUCGUGCCACUGGUAUGUACUGGCUUUGCUGAUUCCUCCUUCUUGUAGAACCGUAAUGCCAUUAAGUUGGUGUUGCGGGAAAACAGGACUGUUACUUUGAAAAAAUUAGAGUGUUUAAAGCAGGCUAACGCUUGAAUACAUUAGCAUGGAAUAAUGAAAUAGGACGACGAUCCUAUUUUGUUGGUUUCUAGGAUUGACGUAAUGAUUAAUAGGGAUAGUUGGGGGCAUUAGUAUUCAAUUGUCAGAGGUGAAAUUCUUGGAUUUAUUGAAGACUAACUACUGCGAAAGCAUUUGCCAAGGAUGUUUUCAUUAAUCAAGAACGAAAGUUAGGGGAUCGAAGACGAUCAGAUACCGUCGUAGUCUUAACCAUAAACUAUGCCGACUAGGGAUCGGACGAUGUUAACUUUUCUUGACUCG